rnacentral:lncRNA from 1 species
CCACAUCCUCUGACAUAUCCCCUUGCACUGUUCCCCUCACUGAUCUGCUUCUACCCAGAUCCAAAGACCUUCUAGGGUCUCUUACUGCUCUUUCUCUGUUGGACCUACUUGACAUUGCCCUAGGCAAUGCAGGAGGACGGGCAUCAGUGCCCUCGUCCUGGGGUGGUACUCCAGUCAAUCGUGCAGAUCGACGAGUUCCUCUCAUCCUGUUUUCUGAAAAACAGCACACAUCACAU